rnacentral:rRNA from 1 species
UACGUAGGGGGCAAGCGUUGUCCGGAUUUAUUGGGCGUAACGCGCGUGUAGGCGGCCAGAUAGGUCUGCUGUGAAAACUCGAGGCUCAACCUCGAGCUGUCGGCGGAAACCAUCUGGCUAGAGUCCGGAAGAGGAGAGUGGAAUUCCUGGUGUAGCGGUGAAAUGCGCAGAUAUCAGGAAGAACACCUAUGGCGAAGGCAGCUCUCUGGGACGGUACUGACGCUGAGACGCGAAAGCGUGGGGAGCGAACAGG